CUUUGGGUCUGCUAUUGUGUUAAAACAGAACCAGAACACACUCUGGUUUAUUCUACAGGAUGUCUGUAAAUGGUGUUGAGUCAUAACAGGGAGUGUGUGAGCGCCCGUGUGUGUGUGUGUGUGUGUGUGAGUGAGUGAGUGAGUGUGGAGUUUCCCCGUGAUGUGUGGAAUCAUGCAGCUUCCUGUUCUCAUAACAAUCACGUCUCUAUCUGAUCUAAAUCUCCAUUUGUCCAUUUCCUUCCCCGGAGCGCACUCUGUCCCUCUGUUUGAGGAUUACUCGGUGUCACUCAUGCUAACCUGGUUAGCAGCGAAAACAACCUUGUGGCCGCUAGCUAGCAUGAUGUUAACUAGCUGUAUUAAAUUACAUACUUUUUUUAAACUAAUUUUAUGGCUAAGCUGAUCCCACGGUUGAAGGAAAGGUUAGAGAUGAUGUGACAGGAUCGGGUUUUUUGAUUGGUUGAGCAAUUGUAAUGUAAGACAGCUAGCAGGGAGGAGUUAGCAUCAUGCUAGCUAGCAACCACAAGGUUGUAUUCAGUUAGCAUGCUUUACACCAUGUAACUCCAGCCCCACCCACUUACUGACCCACAGAUAAUUGACAGGAUGAAACAGCUACACGUAGUGCUUUGGACUUUGGAAUGUGCCAAUAUACAUCUAUACGCACACACACGCACGCGCGCGCGCACACACACACGCGCACCUUUAUUUUUAUGGCAGUUAUCAUCAGCUCUUUGGAAACGAGAUAAGAGCUAUUGUUCCGUUUACACAGCUUCUCUGUAGCUGUUGAUCCCAGUUAACAACCAACAUCCUGAGGUCUGCAAGCUCCUCCCCCUGCCUUCCUGAGGUCUGCAAGCUCCUCCCCCUGCCUUCCUGAGGUCUGCAAGCUCCUCCCCCCAUCACAGAGAAAGAAGCAGUAACACGUUAACCAGGGUUCAUUAAAGUUCAACUUCUGUUUAUGCGGAGGCUGUUAGCACCAUCUUUUGUUUGCGAGUGUGUGUGUGAGAGAGACAGAGAGAGAGAGACAGACACAGAGAGAGAGAGAGAGAGACAGACAGAGAGAGACAGAGAGAGACAGAGAGAGAGAGAGAGAGAGAGAGAGAGACAGAGAGAGAGAGAC
ensembl:lncRNA